rnacentral:rRNA from 1 species
UUAAGCGACUAAGCGUACACGGUGGAUGCCCUGGCAGUCAGAGGCGAUGAAGGGCGUGCUAAUCUGCGAUAAGCGCCGGUAAGGUGAUAUGAACCGUUAUAACCGGCGAUACCCGAAUGGGGAAACCCAGUGUGAUUCGUCACACUAUCAUUAACUGAAUCCAUAGGUUAAUGAGGCGAACCGGGGGAACUGAAACAUCUAAGUACCCCGAGGAAAAGAAAUCAACCGAGAUUCCCCCAGUAGCGGCGAGCGAACGGGGAGGAGCCCAGAGCCUGAAUCAGCAUGUGUGUUAGUGGAAGCGUCUGGAAAGGUGCGCGAUACAGGGUGACAGCCCCGUACACAAAAGCGCAUGUGCUGUGAGCUCGAUGAGUAGGGCGGGACACGUGGUAUCCUGUCUGAAUAUGGGGGGGACCAUCCUCCAAGGCUAAAUACUCCUGACUGACCGAUAGUGAACCAGUACCGUGAGGGAAAGGCGAAAAGAACCCCGGCGAGGGGAGUGAAAAAGAACCUGAAACCGUGUACGUACAAGCAGUGGGAGCACAGGUUUACCUGUGUGACUGCGUACCUUUUGUAUAAUGGGUCAGCGACUUAUAUUCUGUAGCAAGGUUAACCGUAUAGGGGAGCCGUAGGGAAACCGAGUCUUAACCGGGCGUUAAGUUGCAGGGUAUAGACCCGAAACCCGGUGAUCUAGCCAUGGGCAGGUUGAAGGUUGGGUAACACUAACUGGAGGACCGAACCGACUAAUGUUGAAAAAUUAGCGGAUGACCUGUGGCUGGGGGUGAAAGGCCAAUCAAACCGGGAGAUAGCUGGUUCUCCCCGAAAGCUAUUUAGGUAGCGCCUCGUGAAUUCAUCUCCGGGGGUAGAGCACUGUUUCGGCUAGGGGGCCAUCCCGGCUUACCAACCCGAUGCAAACUGCGAAUACCGGAGAAUGUUAUCACGGGAGACACACGGCGGGUGCUAACGUCCGUCGUGAAGAGGGAAACAACCCAGACCGCCAGCUAAGGUCCCAAAGUCAUGGUUAAGUGGGAAACGAUGUGGGAAGGCCCAGACAGCCAGGAUGUUGGCUUAGAAGCAGCCAUCAUUUAAAGAAAGCGUAAUAGCUCACUGGUCGAGUCGGCCUGCGCGGAAGAUGUAACGGGGCUAAACCAUGCACCGAAGCUGCGGCAGCGAACGUAUCACCCAAGACAACUUUACGGAGUUGACGAUUGACGGAGCGAAGCGACGUCAAAGCGUUCAUUAAAGUCGAGUUGGCUUAGGGAUACGUUCGUUGGGUAGGGGAGCGUUCUGUAAGCCUGUGAAGGUGUGUCGUGAGGCAUGCUGGAGGUAUCAGAAGUGCGAAUGCUGACAUAAGUAACGAUAAAGCGGGUGAAAAGCCCGCUCGCCGGAAGACCAAGGGUUCCUGUCCAACGUUAAUCGGGGCAGGGUGAGUCGACCCCUAAGGCGAGGCCGAAAGGCGUAGUCGAUGGGAAACGGGUUAAUAUUCCCGUACUUGGUGUUACUGCGAAGGGGGGACGGAGAAGGCUAUGUUGGCCGGGCGACGGUUGUCCCGGUUUAAGCGUGUAGGUGUGUGUUCCAGGUAAAUCCGGUUCACUUUAACACUGAGGCGUGACGACGAGGCACUACGGUGCUGAAGCAACAAAUGCCCUGCUUCCAGGAAAAGCCUCUAAGCAUCAGGUAACACGAAAUCGUACCCCAAACCGACACAGGUGGUCAGGUAGAGAAUACCAAGGCGCUUGAGAGAACUCGGGUGAAGGAACUAGGCAAAAUGGUGCCGUAACUUCGGGAGAAGGCACGCUGACACGUAGGUGAAGUGAUUUACUCAUGGAGCUGAAGUCAGUCGAAGAUACCAGCUGGCUGCAACUGUUUAUUAAAAACACAGCACUGUGCAAACACGAAAGUGGACGUAUACGGUGUGACGCCUGCCCGGUGCCGGAAGGUUAAUUGAUGGGGUCAGCGCAAGCGAAGCUCCUGAUCGAAGCCCCGGUAAACGGCGGCCGUAACUAUAACGGUCCUAAGGUAGCGAAAUUCCUUGUCGGGUAAGUUCCGACCUGCACGAAUGGCGUAAUGAUGGCCAGGCUGUCUCCACCCGAGACUCAGUGAAAUUGAACUCGCUGUGAAGAUGCAGUGUACCCGCGGCAAGACGGAAAGACCCCGUGAACCUUUACUAUAGCUUGACACUGAACAUUGAGCCUUGAUGUGUAGGAUAGGUGGGAGGCUUUGAAGUGUGGACGCCAGUCUGCAUGGAGCCGACCUUGAAAUACCACCCUUUAAUGUUUGAUGUUCUAACGUGGACCCGUAAUCCGGGUUGCGGACAGUGUCUGGUGGGUAGUUUGACUGGGGCGGUCUCCUCCUAAAGAGUAACGGAGGAGCACGAAGGUUGGCUAAUCCUGGUCGGACAUCAGGAGGUUAGUGCAAUGGCAUAAGCCAGCUUGACUGCGAGCGUGACGGCGCGAGCAGGUGCGAAAGCAGGUCAUAGUGAUCCGGUGGUUCUGAAUGGAAGGGCCAUCGCUCAACGGAUAAAAGGUACUCCGGGGAUAACAGGCUGAUACCGCCCAAGAGUUCAUAUCGACGGCGGUGUUUGGCACCUCGAUGUCGGCUCAUCACAUCCUGGGGCUGAAGUAGGUCCCAAGGGUAUGGCUGUUCGCCAUUUAAAGUGGUACGCGAGCUGGGUUUAGAACGUCGUGAGACAGUUCGGUCCCUAUCUGCCGUGGGCGCUGGAGAACUGAGGGGGGCUGCUCCUAGUACGAGAGGACCGGAGUGGACGCAUCACUGGUGUUCGGGUUGUCAUGCCAAUGGCACUGCCCGGUAGCUAAAUGCGGAAGAGAUAAGUGCUGAAAGCAUCUAAGCACGAAACUUGCCCCGAGAUGAGUUCUCCCUGAGACUUAGAGUCUCCUGAAGGAACGUUGAAGACGACGACGUUGAUAGGCCGGGUGUGUAAGCGCAGCGAUGCGUUGAGCUAACCGGUACUAAUGAACCGUGAGGCUUAACCUU